rnacentral:tRNA from 1 species
CCCCCGAUGGUCUAGCGGUUAAGGAUUCAGCAUUGUCACUGCUGUGGCUUGGGUUCAAUCCCUGGCUUGGGAA